CCAACAACGUUUCAGCAGCACGUGGACCUGUGAACGCGGGAAAACAUAAGAGCAUGCAGACCUACUCCCAUGAUUGGCCUAAUAAUUAAAGCUAUCCUGCAACCACCGCCGUACUGCAGAGCUGCGGGCGCAUCAGGAGCCCAUGACAUGAUACAGAGGGACAGCUUAACUAUUAAAUAUCCAUCACGCCAUGCCACAUCAGUCCUAAUGCAAUCAGAAACACAUGACUACAUCGCCCGGGCCCCCACUUCAAUCCACAAUGAUUAAAUGACAGUUCGAUUUGAUUGGGAAGAGGGGGGGGGGGAAUCUACUGUAGCUGCGCAGACUAAUACGAGGCUUUGUGUACUUCAGAGAGGACGCACGUGGGCUGUGGUCUUUUUGCCGUAUUAUCAUUUUAAUGAAGCAGGGUAUUUCUUUUGUGGUCGGAAGGCUCUAAUGCAGUUGUC